UUUGCCCUUCACGAUGAGAUUCCCAGUGUCUAAGAGCUGAGCUUGUUCUGCAUUUGAGGAGCUCACGUUGUUGGUCCACACAAUCUGGCCACCGUAGUCCCUUAGAACCAUGCUCCCAUCGAAAUUUAACUUGACCUUUGAUCCCCAGGUGUACACAGGGCGGAGAGGAUUUGCACUCCAUACAACAGUUCUUUCAGACACUUUGGAGAACCAAAUGGAGAAGGUGGAUGAGUUGGGGGAGAUUUUGUAGAAGCCACAGCUGAACGUACCAUCUGGCGAACGGAGUACAUCGGAGCUGCGAUCUGCUGAGAGAGAGAAGCCUGAAGAGAGGACAUUUAGAGCUGAGACUUGCAAAAUCAGAUGAAUCAGAGUGAGAAGAACCACAAAUCUGGAAACCGCACCCAUGGUUAUUGCAGCAUUUGAGUUGUCUUCAAGUGACCUGAAUGGAGGACGAUGUUAUAGGGACCCAACUUGCAAUGCAGCGUCCAUCCUCAAGAAGCAAGUGGGAGACUCGGCCCACAGCGUUCACGUCAGUCACAGUACGAUGAGCAGUGAACCUUGUGGUGCAGUCUUUUGUCCUCCGUGCUUCAGCCUUACAAAACAGAGUAUCUUUUUUACUGAGGGGGACUGCACUACUGUGACUGAGUUCUUAUCAUGUUAUUAAUUUCUCAAAUGAUUCUCGUUCAUUUCCAAAAAAAAAGUUAAGUUGUUUCUCUAUGUGACACGUAAGGUUUCAGGUUGUGAGUUGUAUGCCGACUCAAAAGUAUCCACCUUUUUAACGAGUAAAUUCCAUUUUUAACCAUUAAAUUAUCGUUGACGUUUGAUUUUGGCUAUAAAACUCAAAAACCGGAAAUCCCUACCAUCCAACUAUCAAACCGUUUACAUUUUACCAUUUUGGUUGUUUCAAAAGGUGAUUUCGCUAACGUGGACAAUAUAUGGUAGUGGGACCCAUAUGUUAGCUCUAUCUUCUUCCUCUCUCCCUCCCUCCCUCCUUCUCGGUCUCUCUCCACCCUCUCUCUAUAGUAGAAGAGAUUGACACAGUGGCAGUACCUCCAAGCUCCACUAAGCGGUGGUGCCCUAGCUCCCCACUGAGGUGGUGCCUGAGUUCCUUGCUAUGGUGGCGUCUAGGCUCCCACUACGGAGGAACCCGAGAUCCUUGGUGCGGAGGCAACUCAGGCCUAACCCCUAGGCGGCGACGGACGAGGUGAGCGAGGGCAAGGUAGGGGAGAGGAGGAUGUAGCAAAGGAGAUGAGGUCGCGAGUUCCAGAUUCGGAUUUGGAGUGGUGUCACACCCGGUUUUAAAGCCAAACCAAGUGACAAUCAUAUGUGUGCCAGAUCAAGUUUCACACAUACGAUGACUUCAGUAAAUAUCAAAUACAGUGUUAUAACAUAAAGAGAGUUACAUAGAUUACCUAACCAGAAAUGAGAUAAAAAAUCUCUAGUAUAAGCAGCGGAUCUCCAACAACUCCUCAGGCAGUUGACUGGGGGAAACGUACGCCUACCAAAUCUUCAAAGUCUUCAACAGAGUGGUCUUGUACUGAAUAGCAGAUAUAGCAAGUGUGAGUACACUUAUGGUUGGUACUCAGCAAGUGUGGGGAAAUGUGUAGUGUAAGGCCAAAAUAAGGAAUAACUGACUGGUUUACUGCAUUAAGCAUUUUAAUUAAUUGGUCAAGUUUUAUUAGCAAGAUAUUUACUAAGGUAUAAGCUUAUACCACCCAAUUAAGCAUAAGAGCAAGAAUAUAUAUGAACAUAAAUAAAACACAUGUUAAUUAUUCUUCAAGUUUAAUUAUCAUGCGACAGUCCAGGUUGCUCUUGACUGUGAGCACGACUGAUAUAUCAUUUGUACACUCUGCAAAGGUUGUACACUUUCAUUGCAAGUCACGUAAAAGUUCAGAAAAACUUUAGACCCAACCAUGCUGUGCAAAAGUAGGCACUUAUCACACUACCAAGGUGUGACUGCAUAUGGACGCUACAAGAUCUUUACAAAGAUUCCCUAAUAAGUGAUAACCCACUAAGGUUUCCUCAUAAGGGGAUGAACCCUCCUCCAAGUGGUGCGUACACCCCUUGACUGGACAAGCCUUUGCACAACCUAUGAGCCCCUCUUGCCCUUUUGGUAAGACUAUCACAAACUAAAGUCUCUAAUUAAUUAGCCAAGACUAGAGCCCGUUGGUCUUAUGAUUGUACUAUUUUUCUGGAUGGUCACACCAUGUUCCAAUUAAGGCAUGUGAGCUGUUGUAAUUAACAAAGGUGCAUAACAGAUUCAUCAUUGUUCAUUACUUCCCACCAUAAACCAGGUAUAGCAACUAGCAUAGCUACCCAACAAUAAAGUAAAACCUAGGUUAACAAGGGAUAAUAUGGAAACUAGGUAAAUCCUUAAUUAGGACCCAUCAAAUUAAGACACAAGCGUGCAAAGCAUAUGUUUCAUAUAUCAAUGUUGUACAGGACAAAAUGUGAUCAAGGGCACAACUUGCCUUCCUUAGAGUCCUAUUGUUGUGCAUAGUCUUUGAAGUCUUCUUCUUGAGAUUCCUCAAACUACGCUCCUUCGGCGUCACACAAUCAUCCAAAGCAACCAUACAAGCAAACAAAUACAACUAAUAAGAAACAAUACACCAAACAAUAAAAUCAUACUAAAACAACACUUUAAAUCUAUCGUACAUGUUGCAAGGAUCGCAAGAGCGCAAGUGAAAGGAUCUUGAUGUCACCUAGAGGGGGUGAAUAGGAGUAACCUGAAAUCAUCGCCACUUAAAACAAGUUUAUCAGCGACAUGCGAAUUAUUCAGGAAAUACUUCUGGAGAUUCCACAAAUUUUGGAGUCUCCUAAAAAAUCUCCGGAAUCUCCAAAGAUAGGAAACACACGCCUUAAACAGCGGAAUAAAAUUGUCUGCCUAAAAAUCGGAACUUCUGGUUUCAAAACUGGAACCUCUGGUUUUGGCUCGAGCAGAGAGAACCCCCAAACCUUAUGCGUUGCAAGUGAGGUAAAGAUCAAACCAAGUUUAGAUAGUAUGCUCAGAUGGUGCACCUUAGUAGGAUCACAAAAUUCCUGCACUUCACAAAUACAACACCCGAGUAGAUCAACCAACAUGAUGAAAUCACGAUGAAAUGGAAGUGCAAUGCAAAUGUAAGCAAACUAGUGAUGAGACACGAUAAUUUGUUUUACCGAAGUUCAGAUUCACCCCAGGCAAAUCCUACAUCUCCAUUGGGUGCUUCCAAAGAAGCCAGGUUGCACUCAACCCUUUCCCUACAUCACUAGUUAGCUUCUUCCCUUUCGGAGGCAAAGCUCGACCUGCACAAACUAUCCCGUGGCUCACCACGUCUUGGGAGCUCUUGUGUCUUUCAUCCCUCACAUAGGAUACUUGAGCACUGAGACUUUAUCAAAUGAUCAUGUGAUGCAUCCCUCUUGAUAGUACGACACACAUAUACUCAAGAUCAAAACAUAAAUACAAUAUUCAUCCUCUUGAGUUUUAUUACCAUAAACCAUGCCAUACUUUUUCAAUAUAUCCACUUGAGAGCUGCAUCCAAUUUUGUCUCUUUGGUUUGAACACUUCAAUCUUGAACUAGUGACUUGGAUCAAUAUUCAACCGCAUAUGAAUGAAACCCAAUUUUAAAUCACAAGUCACUUUUUCAUAUGACUCAAUGAACAUUUGGUGCAUCUCAUUGCUAUACUCAGUAAGGCUUGACUUGAUACCUCAAAAUCCUCCAAGCACUAGCCGCUUCACCCUAGCAAAGCUCAUGGCCCAAGUCACCACUUGACCAAACUUUGCUUAGUAUCUUGUUGCUAAUCACUUGCUUGAUUCCUUAAUCCAAUUGCUGCCGCAUUGAGUCUAGCUUUGUUUUGACAUCAAGAAUGAAAUUCACUUGAGAUCAUAUCUUCUUUUGACUUCUAUAUCCUAUUUGUUCAUAACAAGCUUCUCAUUUUAUUUAGAGACCAACUGAUAUCCUAAUGCCAUAAUGCCUCUAUCUUUACCUCAAUUUGCUUGUCACAUAUCACACACAACCAUCAUGGGAUUUACAUAAUAUUCCUUAUUAUGGCAUUCAUCUUUAACUCAAACAAUCUUGCAAUAUGAGAAUAUCAACCACGCCUCAACUCACCAUUUCUUGCUUUCCAUGCUUAGAUGAACAAUGUCAUAUACCACACUUGUUCUUCUUACUAUAUGAGCCAUUUAAUACAAUCUUUCCCACAAACAUUAUUCACCAAUAGCAUUACACCCACUCAUAUGCUUAACCAGUUCAUUAGACCUUUAAUCAAGUUGUCAUUCAACUCACCAAAACCCACUAGGAGCCUAGAUGCUCUUUCAGGAAGAUUCACUCGAAUCGGAGCUAAAAACGAAGAAGGUAUGAGGCAAACAUGGUUUCAUGGACUUAGAUGCAAAUAACUAUAGAUUUGAAGGGCUAGCAAGAAAGAUCUACAAGACACGUAAAAUAGUGCUCGCAAAAAGGAUAAGGCUAAGGGUUAGAUCUGCAAAACUGAAGGGUUCGGGUUAGAUUGAAAGGAACUGGAAACUUCUAGGGGGUUUUCGGUAAAGUUUCCAAGACACAAGAAAAGGAUAAAUAAUUACAGAUUUGGCCAGGAGCCUAUCUGCAAUCAUUGAGCCAUUUUCUUCCCAUGGCCUGCGGCGGCUUUGGCUGUCCGGCUUGUGAGCGCUUUGGCGAGCUGGUGACCAAGGUGAGGAGGGGAAACGAGAAAGGAGAGCUUGGGGAUCCUCCUGGUGUUCUCACUGGCGGCUGGUACGGCGGAAUCGGGCUGGAAAUUUGGCCGGUGGCGGGCAGCAGACGGUGGUCGGGUCGAUGUUGCGUGGCGGUGCUGCUCUAGCGAUGGAACGACAUCGGGAACCGGUGGCAAUCGCAUGGUUCGACCUCACUGACAAGCUAGCGAAGACUGCCUGCCCCGAGGAUGAUAGGGUGCUGCAAAUCGACCGGAAAAGCCAACGGCGGCGCUUGGCUCGGCUGGCUAGCUAGCCAAGCGGCGACGCUGCGCAAGACGAGGAUGGGGCGAGGCGGCGCAAGCGCGAGCGGAGGCAGUAGGGCAAGCAGGAGAUGUGGCUUCGCUAUUUAUAGGGGCAGGGGCGGAGCCCUAGCUUGGCGCCCACGCCAAGGAGAAGGCGGCGGUAGCCAUUACCGGCCCAAGGUUUGGCGCUGCCCGAUGGGCCCCGACGGGCUGGAUGGGUCGGGAGGUGGCCGGAGUGAGUCGAGCCCACAGGCUCAGCCCGAUAGGAUAGGGUUAGAUUUUCAUAAAUGAUUUCUCAGGAAAAAAAUCCAGAAAAAAUCUAGAUAAUUUAUUUAAACCAUGAAACAUAUCCUGGAAAUUCUAGGAAAAUUCCUAGAGAUAGAUUGGACCACAAGGAAUACAAAUAAAAUACUUGGAACCGGUGCCUAGAGCCUUCGAAAAAAUAGAUUUAAUUCUAGAAAAAUGAGAACAAAUUCCAGAAAAAUCUGGAACAUAUCUCAGAGAACCUAACAGUCGUAAGAAUGCAUUUUUAAACCUUUUUCACACUCAAGGAAUAAGAAAUGCAACCAGCAUGAAUGCAACACACAGAAACCUAAGGUUCAUUAAGUUAAUUUAGAAAAAGAUUUUAAUGUCUAAUAAAUUCACAAAGAAAUCUUAAGGCCUUAAACGAACUCAAACAAAUUCUAGAAGAUUCUAAUUAAUUUUAUUAAAUUGCAAAGGUGAAAAUUAGGGUGUUACAAGUGGGAGCUCAUGCGUACAUGGCCUCCUUUUCGCCUGCGGGAGGCGGCACCGUGUGGAUGAGACAGGAGAGAGGAGAGGCAAAGAGAGUGAAGAGAGAAAAGGGAAUUAGCAUGUAGGCUCCACUGACACGUCAGCAAAGCCUCCAUCAAAACAGCUAGACAGGCAAAUGUAAAUAUUUUUAAUAGUAUGAUGGUCAAAGAUUUCUAGUUUAAGUUUCAUGGUCAAAAUUAAAAUCCAACAAUAGUUCAAUGGUCAAAUAUAAACUUUCCUCGCGUGGUUUGACUUUACGAGUCUUAUGAUAUCAUAAUCUGACUAUUAUUAUCAUUUCAUCGGUCAUGAAAUUGUUCACCAACCUCUUAUGGAGAUUUAACAAUAAAAUAUAUGCUGAACGAUGUCCUUAUCCAAACUAUGGUGCCUGCUUUUGGUAUUUCACAUCGAGGUUUGUGGGAUGUUUUCAUUUAGUGUUGCAGUUUUGUAUAGGCGAAAUAGGCAUUUUGUAGUGUUGCAGUUUUGUAUAGGUGAAAUAGGUAUUUUGGUCCCUAAAAUUAUUCCAUCCCUCAACUUUCAGAAUGUCCAAUUUAGUCCCUCAACUUUCCUUUUGGGUCAAACUCGUCCUUGUGCUGAUACGGGGCUCCAUAUGGGCAUGAAACUAAUACGAAAAGUCCUUUGUACCCUUAGCUUUUUUUCUCUUCAAUUUUCACCUUUAGAAUUACAAUAACGUAUAAUCCAAAAUAAAUAUGAUACAUAUGUUUGCAAGGGAGUAUGAAUACAUAGAUGGAGCAUGUAUAACGUAGCACGAGUAUAGUAUACAUACAUACAUAUAUGUACCAAAAGAAUAUGUGCACAUAUAUUUUGCCUAUUAAAUUCGUUUGGGGACGAAACUCUGCUCACUCUGCAGCAGUGAAACUAUACACGCGUUAAAGGAUUUUCCUUUCAACACGGCUGUCCAUAGACAUCUCACUCAUACCACAGAAACUGAUAUCUAACAGAACAUGAUAGUGUAAGCUUAAAUAUUUGAACACGAGCAUCAGUAGUUCGUCUGUUAUAAUCAUGCCAUGGGCCAUGGCGGACCAUCCUUUUCCAAUUGAGACUAGCAAGUUGCAUGCAUUAUUGUGUGUCGUGAUAUAGCUGGACGCUGGUAGCUGCACACAAUUUGCAUGGACAAUGAUUGUGCGAUGACCGGACACAAAGCCGGAGGCUUGGGACGGAUUUGCCUGUUGCAGACUUGCAGUCGUCGAUUAGCAGCCUUAUGUAAAGUUGUAAUCACUCAGCAGCUACCUCUGGUGCUACAGGCGCCAUUGUUUAAUGCCCUAGCUAGUCAUGUUUAACUACACCUAUAAGAUAAGGAGACGCAAUAGUUUCUUGAUGGCAUAGCACAAGAUUCGGUCAAAUUUGGAGCAAUACGGUAUGAGACUCUCUAAAGCGCGAGAACGGCACACACUCUCUACUCUCUAGCCUAUGCUUUCAGCUCAGCAGCGUUAUUGGAAGAGCCCAGCCCAGAUUAUCGAGCCCAAAGGCCCAUGCUCCACGCACCACCUCGUGCUUAGCCCGCCGCAGCCGGUGGCGCGCCGGUGGUGCUCGUUGAGGGCGGGGCGGGGCGGAGACGGGAGCCGCUGCCACGGUUGCACCCCGUGGCGCAUGGCCGCGGUGGCGCACGGCCGCGGUGGCGCGGUCCACUGUCCAGUGCCCAGUGCCCAUUUCAGCAGUUUCUCAAUAGUUGACUUUGUCCGCUUUACAGUUGCUGGGUUGGUAGCCGACGAGUGUACUGUUCACCUGAUCAUAUCUUGGUUUGAGGCACAACAUUGUUCCUGUGUUAGUUCCAGUCCCGGCUAGCUCAACAACCAGAUGCAUUGACGCUUUGUCUGGGUUCUCACAUCUUUGGUAGUUCAUCUGUGGUAUGCCUAGAGGGGUCUUCCACUCUAUCCCAAAUAUGAUAUAUCGAUUUACCCCAACCUGCAUGGAAUGGGACAAAGAGGCUUUGUUGUUGUAAUUUUAGAUCGAUAGCUAUCGUUAGAUGCAAUUCUGCACUCGGAUUGAACAAAUCUUCAUAAGAUUAUAUAUCAAUAACAAUGGCGUUUCCUCCUGAUUUAGAGCACAAAUUACAACAGAAUCUAGCAUGGAUAUUAUUUGUUCUCUCAUCUAUAUGUUAUUUGUUCCCCUUAGUACAAAGAGCCCUAUUUAUGCAGGCUUUAAGCAGGUCCUGCCAUUACAUUUGUGGGCCUGUUCGCUUCAGCUUAUUCAGCCGGCUUAUCAGCUACCAAACAGUAUUUUCCUCUCACAACAAAUCAGCCGUUUUAACUUUUCAGCUGGCUUAUAAGCUGAAGCGAACAGGCCCUACUGACAUCAUCUACUAAAACAAGCAUCUGGGCCACAUUUUCCAUGGUUGAUCUUCUGUCCCUAUCUUCCUCCAUGCAUGAAACAGACAGGCUCAUUUUAAGCUCCUUAAGUGUCAAUUACCCGACAAGUUUGUGGUUGGUUGCAUAAUUGCAAAGUUGCCUUCCUCAUGGAGGAACUUCACCACUACGCUGAAACAUAGGAGGCAGGAGAUAUCAGUUGAAAAUCUGGUAGCGUCUCUUGAUGUUGAGGAGAAAGCUCGGAAGAAGGACACCGCUGAGAAUGGAGACCUAGGUCAGUCUAGCGCCAACAUGGUCUAGAAAUUCCCAUGUGGCAAGAACAAAGGGAAGAACAAAGUCGUCAAGACUACUACCUUCAAGAAGAAAAAGAAUAAGGCUGAGAUGAACUGCUACACUUGUGGUGAGCUUAGACGCUUCUCUAAGGACUGUCCAGAGCAUGCAGACCGCAAGGGUAGAAGGGCUAAUGGGUCCAAGGAUGUCAACAUGGUGACCAUAGGCAACACUGGAGACGGGUACGAUAAUCUACCUAUUGUUCUCUCAGUUUUUCAUUCCACUAGUUGGUGGCUUUAUACGGGUGCCAAUAUUCAUGUGUGUGCUGACAUUUCCAUAUUUUUUUCUUACCAGGUCGCCUAGGGUUCCUCUAUGCUGAUGGGGAAUAGGUCACAUGCUGCUGUUCAUGGUGUUGGUGCGGUAGAUCUGAAGUUUAUUUCAGGAAAGAUCGUGCAGCUGAGGAAUGUGCAACAUGUCCCUACUAUCAACAAGAAUCUUGUGAGCGGCUCGGUCCUGUGUAAGGACGGGGUUAAGGUAGUCCAAUAAAUUAGUCGUGUCAAAAUAUGGACAAUUCGUUGGUAAAGGCUAUGAGUGAGAAGGCGUGUUCCGCUUUUCCCUUGCAGAUUUCUGUAAUAAGUACCUGAACCAUAUUUGUGGCAAUGAUAGUGAUGAUGCAAGUACUUGGCAUUCACGUUUGUGUCAUAUUAAUUUUGGUUCAAUGUCUCGACUUUCCAGCAUGUGUUUAGUUCUGAACCUCACCAUUACUAAAGGUUCUAAGUGCCAUAGUUGUGUGUAAUCGAAGCAACCUCGGAAGCCUCACAAGGUGGCUGAGGAGAGACACUUGGCACCUCUAGAACUCAUACAUUCCGAUCUGUGCGAGAUGAAUGGUGCAUUGACCAAAGGUGGAAAGAGAUACUUCAUGACUUUGAUUGAUGAUGCGACUAGAUUUUGCUAUGUUUACUUGUUGCAAACUAAUGAUGAAGUAUUAGAUUACUUUAAAAUUUAUAAGGCUGAGGUUGAGAAUCAACUUGAGAGAAAUAUCAAGCGUCUAAGGUCUGAUCAUGGUGGCGAGUACUUUCCAAAAAUUUUUGAUGAAUUCUGUGAGGAACAUGGUAUUAUUCAUGAGAGGACGCCUCCCUAUUCGCCCGAGUCCAACAGGAUUGCUGAGAGGAAAAACCGCACAAGUUAAUUCCAUGUUAGAUACUACCGGUUUAUCUAAGGCAUGGUGGGGGAGGCUUUGUUGACUUCAUGUCAUGUCCUGAAUAGAGUUACCAACAAGAAUAAAAAUCAAACUCCAUAUGAGAUGUGGAUUAGGAGAAAACCAUCACUUUCUUAUUUGCAUACUUAGGGGUGCUUGGCGAAAGUCAAUGUACCAAUUCCGAAGAAGCGCAAGUUAGGACCUAAGACAGUGGAUUGUGUCUUUCUGCUGAAAUAACUCCUGAACGUACUGCACCUGUUGAGUCUUCUAAACAACCCGAUGAGCAUGAGCAUGAGGACGUUCUAGAGAAGGAUGAUAGUGAAGCUCCUAGAAGGAGCAAGAGAUAGAGGGUUGCAAAAUCCUUUGGUGAUGAUGUCACAGUGUACCUUGUGGACAAUACUCCCAUGUCCAUCACUGAGGUGUAUGCAUCUCCAGAUGCAGACGAUUGGAAAGAAGCUGUCUAAAGUGAGAUGAAUUCGAUUCUUUCUAAUGGGACAUGGGAGCUCACUGAACGAUCUUAUGGUUUUAAACUAGUGGGUUGUAAAUGGGUGUUCAAGAAGAAGCUUAGGUCUAAUGGUACUAUUAAAAAGUACAAGGCUAGGCUUGUGGCCAUAGUUUACACACAAAAGGAAGGUGAAGACUUUUUUGAUACCUAUUCACCUAUCGCGAGACUAACCUCUAUUCGAGCACUACUUUCUCUGGCCACCUCAUAUAGUCUUAUCAUCUACAAGAUGGAUGUAAAGACAGCUUUCCUAAAUGGAGAGUUGGAUGAGGAGAUUUAUAUGGAUCAGCCUAACGGGUUUGUGGUGAAGGGUCAAGAAAGCAAGGUGUGUAAGUUAUUGAAGUCGUUCUAUGGCCUGAAACAAGCACCUAAACAAUGGCAUGAUAAGUUUGACAGAACUUUAACUUCUGUGGGCUUUGUCAUUAACGAGGCUAAUAGAUGUGUGUACUAUCACCAUCGUGGGGUUGAAGGAGUUAUAUUGUGCUUGUAUCUGGAUGACAUACUGAUAUUUGGCACAAACAUUGAUGUGAUCAAUGAGGUCAAGUCUUUUCUAUCACAGAAAUUUGAUAUGAAAGAUCUGGGAGAAGCUGAUGUUUAAAAGGUUGAGGAUGAGAAUGGGAUUACUCUUUCGCAAUCCCAUUAUGUGGAGAAGGUCUUGAACCAUUUUGGUUAUAUGGACAACAAGCCUUCUCCAACACCUUAUGAUCCCAGCGUGAUACUCAAGAAGAACAAGAAAACUAGUAAAGAUCAACUGAGAUACUCUCAGAUUAUCAGUUCACUCAUGUACUUAGCUAGCGCAACGAGACCUGACAUAGCUUUUGCUGUAAACAAAUUGAGCAGGUUCAUGUCAAACCCGGGUUCUGAUCAUUAGCAUGCACUUGAAAGGGUUAUGCACUACUUGGUGGGUACUAUGAGUUAUGGGAUUCACUAUUUCGGGCACCCUGCUGUGCUUGAGGGAUAUAGUGAUUCGAACUGGAUUUCAGACGUUGAUGAGCUAUAUGCCAUGAGUGGAUAUGUGUUUACCCUUGGAGGUGGUGCAAUAUCAUGGAGGUCUUGCAAACGGACCGUUCUGACGAGAUCAACCAUGGAAGUAGAACCUACUGCUUUGGAAACAGUCACUGUUGAGGCAAAGUGGCUGCGUGAGCUCUUGAUGGAUUUGCCUGUGGUUGAUAAACCAGUACCGGCAAUCCUUAUGAACUGUGACAAUCAAAUGAUGAUAGUCAAAGUGAAUAGUACUAAGGAUAACACAAAGUCAUCAAGACAUGUCAAGAGACGACUGAAGUCUAUCAGAAAGUUGAGAAACUCCGAACUAAAAAGUGUGACUUAUAUUCAAACAGACAAAAAUCUGGUAGAUCCCUUUACAAAAGGGCUAUCAUGGAAUGUGAUAGAAUGUGCAUCGAGGGAGAUGGUAUCAGACUUGUUUGGGUUGCUGUAGUGGUAAACCAAUCUAUGUGAUCGGAGAUCUUGUGAAUUAGGAUCUGGGAAAAUCAAGCUAUCGGUUGACUGAGGAGAGUAAUUUUUAAACCCUCCCUAUAUAAAGAUGCAAUACUUUAAGGCAGGUUAGCAAUAUGUUUUAAUGUGCUUCUAUUGGCUUGAUUAAGCGAAGAUGCUGUUCUAUAAAGUAUUUUUGAAAGAACACACCUAUAUGAGCCCGACCAUAAAACAUCGUAGUCUAUGAGACAUGGGUGAUCUAUAGUAAUCUCAUGAAGAGACCAAGGAGUAUGAUGAAUAUGCUCCACCCGCGGGGUAGGCUACUGGUAGCUAGGUACUAGUUUCGACUUUGAGUGAAACUUGUCCACAUAAAACUUGCAAUUCAAGGCUUAGUCCAUUGUUCAAGUUAUGGAUGAAUGUAGCUUGAAGCUCUAGGCGAGAGUUCAACUUAAUAUUCCUUGCUGAAACAUUGGUAUAUAAACAGCAGUGAGAAACAAGCAAAAUCUCUAAUGGGCAUUUGAGAUCUGGUGGGGGAUUGAUGGAAUAAUGGGCUUGGCCCAUUACAAUUUCAAAAAUUCCAAAUAAAUCUCAAAGGCCCAUGUGGGCAUUAGUAAGUAGUUAGAGUGGUGCAAAUCUUUAGUCCCACAUCACUAGUGGAGGAGCAGGAUGGCCAACAUAAAUAUGGAGGUUGUCUCCACUCCCCCAAGCUAUGUGUGUGGGGAGAGAAGGAAAGCUCCACACGCACGCGCUCGCUCGGGCAGGGUGGGGCGAAGGGCACCGGCACGCAACACCUGCGUGAAUGGUCCACCGAAAUACGGCCUCCAGCCUUGCGGUGGCGCGGUUUCCUUUUUGCCAUUUUUUUGUGUUACUUGACCUUUAAAUCAGCUGAGUUUAGAUCACGAUCGCAACAUGAGAUCGUGGGCUCUCCUAUAUAUAUAUGACCUAUCGGCCUUUAGCGAAAACACAUCUAAUCGAGCUAGGGUUUUUGCCUCUUCUGGCUGCUGCGCCGCCACCAUAGUCUACUCCAUCCCAAAGGUCAGCAUGCACCGGCGAACGGGAGAGCAGGUCUCCGGAACAUCUCGCUCCUAUGAUCCUACAUCGGGAGAGGACGAAUAAGGUUUUUUGGGAAGCACUCCGCACGACUGCUCAAGGUCUUCACCACGGCUCGUCUUCCGUCCAAGUCCAGCGUUGCGGUGGGCCAUCGUCUUCAACAUCGUCUAUUACGCUCCGUCCGCAAUAUCGUCAUUGUUCCGUUUGCACCGCUUGUCGUCACAGCUGCACCCGCUAAGUACGUACGCCGUGAUCUGAUCUGUUAUUUCAGCAUAUUUUCUGAGAAUAUGAAGUCGUACUUGCUGUUGCCUAGUAUGUUAGAGAUUUACAUGCUAGAUUUUAUUCUUACUAUGAUAAAUUUAUUUCAGAAUUUAAUCAUGCAGUUGUCUAAUUUUCCAAAGUAUAUGAUUGUAACCUCUUGUGCUUCGUAAAGCGGACGAAUUAGAGGGAAAGGGAAGCUAAUCAGUUCAGUUGCCAGUUGUGCUGUGAGCUUGUGAUGACUGAUGAGUACACGAUUUACUUGCAUCAACAUCUUUAACUUAGGAUUAUUCGAUUCUUUGACAUGUUGUCAGCAGGUCAAGACGCCACGCCUCGACGAAAAGUUUGUCGAUGUCCACCUAACCCCUUGGCUGGUGCCCACCACAAAGUCCGCAACACAACAACAGCUCGUGGCAGAAAAGAGUUUGGUUUGGACUGUUCGGUGUCUCUGAACUUUCCAGGCAGCUUACACGUGAGACCAGCGGCUCUGCUCAAGAAAACAUCGUGCAGGUGAGCCUGCGCUACAGGCUAAAACCAUGCUGCAACGCGUCUGUAUUUAGCAAUAAUUUGGAAGGGCUGGUAUGAGACAUUGCUGAAGUCUCAAAUGGCUGCACCUUGUUUAGCCAAAGAAAAAGAGGGUGAGAGUGGCUGGAAAUUGAUCUGCAGUUUAUGCUAAGAGGUCACCCCUCCACUCCAGGCUCCAGCCCUCCCACUCUUUGCCUCUCAGGCAGUCAGGCUCAGUCUCAGCCUUUGGGUCUGAAGGAACUCACCUCAGCCACCUCCCCCGUCCUCGUCCAGCCAGCUGCCCACCGAACUCGUCCAGCCAGCUGCCCACCGAAUUCGACGCCGGCCGCCCGCAUGAGAAGCUCAAAAUUUUGACUUUCGAUCAGCUUCUACACUUAUCCAGAUGACCAAACGCAAGUCGGUACCUGGCAAAAGCACGGGGUUUCCCUUUAGUGCCAGGCUGAUCCAUCUAUCAUGGCAUGGGCACGGCGUAAAUCAAGUUCAAAGAAUUUUGUCGAGCAAAAUGCCUCAUGUCAUGCUACCAUGCAAGUGGCGACUGAGGUGACUUGAUAUGACCGGGUUCUUCCGGAAACUAGAGAAUUGCAAGUGUACAAACAUCCACAUCCACAGAUAGAACCAUCUUAUCACCCGAGCAACAUCCAACGCUGACCUGAUAUUGCAACUUGAAAACUUAGCUGCUCGACCAUUGAGCUUCUGAUCUGAGGUAAAUAUCACUCAGAUUCCCACCCAACCAACCAUCUCAAUAACACCAGAAGAAACUACGGAACCAGAGUCCAUCAGCUCCUGGCCUCCUGCAUCUUAUAUUUUCCUGGAAACAGAACGAAAUAUGUUUCGAGAUAUUCUAUUGCAGCUUCUCUUCUCUUGUGUCUCAGGAUAAUACAAAAUGGAGGUACAACAAAAAAGAAAAAGAAAAUCCAAUCGCCAUGUACUUUUAACAUGCUCUAUGGAAGUUCUGAGAAGCAGCAACAAAAUCUCCACACCAAAGAAUGAGCGGGGUACAAGGCGGCUGAGGAAACAGAUUUUUUUUCUAACGGCAACAUCUACAGACCCCGGGCGCUGAAGCACAGAGGAGAGAAGUUAAAAGGAGCCGACACGCCGAUUACAAAAAGUAGUCCGGGGUCUUGCGUGUCAUGUCCGGCUCGAUUUGCCGCGGAGCUGGGUCGAAUUGGAGGAAGUUCUGAUCCAUGUUCUCUCCAAAUUCGAGGAUUGCAGCCAUGUUACCGCAUCGGUAGCAGUAAUUUGGCGCGCUGAACACCGCCACAACAUUCAGGGAACAGAGCAAACUAUUAAUCAAGUUAAACAAAAUUGUGUAAAACAACGACUCAUUCAGGGCAUUAAGGGCCUAUUAAGGACCUAUUUGUUUGAGCUAACAGCUUCUCAGCAUAAAAAGCUAGAAGUUCAAACAAACAGCGAAUUUCUAGUGCAGCUUUCGAAAAGCUGGAAGCUCAAAAAAGCUGAGUUUAUAUGGAAAAAAAAAGCUAGCAACAGUUUCUCAGAAAAGCUCAAAAGUUAAGCUUGUUUCUCAGAAAAGCUCAAAAGCUGCACCUCAAACAAACAGACCUUGACCCAUUGUCGAUUUGCCAUUUCUAGACCCAAAAGCCCAUCUGGGCCGUUUCUAUGGCCCACUCCACGGUUCAUACUUUCGACCUAGAGCAAAAUGCCAAAACCCAUAUCCCAAUCUUGCGACGGCGGCACUCAUCGAGGGCGGGGCCGCCGAAGAACGGAGCAGCUGGCCGUUGUGCCUCCCCCGCGGCGGAGCAACAUGAUGCAAGGGUGCACGGGCUUGGUUCAGAGCCCAUUCGACCACACAGGUAUAGCUGUACGACUCUAUGAAUAAGUGAGUAACAGCAGCCGCUCACUUGUUGAUCCGUUUCCACUUUGCAGCUGUAGAGGGGCUUAAUUGUUAGAUUGAUGUGUUAUCUUUCCAAUCGGAUUGGUUAGGCAUUAGCCAGCGAAUGUACUAUUCACCGAAUUGCUAUGCAAAACUUCCAGUCUAGCCAAAAUACAACCUAUCAGUAUUUGAUUGCCUACCUCAAAACUUGCUUGGGACUACAGCCUCCAAGUGACAGUAUCUUUGGUGUCUGUAUUGGAUGAAUUGAAAUGAAAAAUGUUCCAUCGGAUGUUCCGAUGGACCUCAGAAAAGCAUCGGAGCAAGCGUCGGAGUAAUUGGUACGCUGCGGAGAAGACUAGGCAAAGUCACCUAUCAGAUGUUCCAAUGGUCACUUUUCUAGUAGCGUCGGACGAAUUCUGAGGGACAGGCUUGGAAUACGAAGAAAAUCCAAUAGCACUAGAUGAUCCAACGGUACGCGCAAGAGGAGCGUCGAACAAAGUAUAUUUUCUUUGAUCCUUUACAGAAGGUUUUAACCAGAAUGCCUUCAGCACUGGAUGAUCCAAUGGCACCAUCGGAGAAAGCAUCGGAGCAAUUACAUCAAGAGGAUCCAACGGCUAUGUGACGUGAGCUAUGGCACCGAAUGAUCCGAUGGGGGCAUCGGAUAAAGCGUCGGAUGAAUUUCUGAAGAACUUGGGCACAGGGAGUCCAACGGCUAGUUGCACUGGAUGUUCCAAUGCAGGCUAAAAAUAGACCAUCGGAAUAUCCGAUGGUAUACUUUUUCACUAGCCGUUGGAGAAACGGCUCUUUGAGCCCUUGGGGCUAUUUAUUCCCCCACUACUCGCCCAUUUGGAGUGUCCAGGGCUGCAUUGAAAACCAAGACUCAUUAAGAACAUACCCAUGCAACCAAAAGUGCUUAAGUGAUACAUCAAAGGCUUAGCAUAAGUUUAGGAGAGUAAUUAGUGUUAGGAUAGGCCUAGAGAGGUGUGAGUGCAAGGUGUGCCAACCUUGUGAUCAGAUUCUAGAGUGAACCACCGCUAUACAGGAGGUGUGCCGGUGCCUUGGAGCCUUUGUGGCUCGCCGGCAAGUCUUCGACCCUCCUGCUUGGUGUGGAGCGGCGUCGACGACCUUAUGCCGGGGACGUGGAGACCCCCUUCCUUCAUGGAGAAGCUCCUUAGUGAAGACGGCAUCAAGGUGACCGAGGGACUUGGCGUGAGACUUAGUGGCCGAGCCUUUGUGGCAAGUCAAGAGGCACCUUGGGAGAGAUUUGGUGACCGGGAAGCAAUACUCUUGUGUGAGUGUUUCAACAACGUGGACUAGUGGUUACUUAGUGCCUACCGAUACCACGGGAUAAAUUCUUGUGUCAAAAGUUUGCUUCCUCUCAUCCACUCCUUACGUUUCCGCAUUUCAUACUUGCAACUCGUGUGCCUUUACUUUCCUACAGUAAUAUCUUGAUAGGAUUGGCUAUAGGUUGCAAAACUUAUUUUGAGAUGAGGGUUUCACGCUAGAUCAACCAUAGAAUAUACUUUUAGGAUAGAAUGAUCUAGUUUCCUUAUAUAUAAAGUAGUGGAAGUCAUAUGUUAAGUUUUUAAGUUGCCUAAUUCACCCGCUCCCCUCUUAGACUACGAGCACCGAUUCGUUUCAAAUAGCAUUCGGUAGUAUACACAAAAUCCUUGAAAGUAUGCGAACCCAUUACAUUUGUAGUCACUCAAACAUAUCUGCUUGCAGAAGUUAAGAGAGACAGAACGUUGAGCACUUAGAUCUAGCCCGUAGAAGUUAGUGUUGGGUAGAUGAACAAAUUUCACCUUUUCCUCAUCACAAGUAAUAUUGAUCUUUGGUCUGCAGCCUUCACCCCAGUCACUUUGGUCGAUGACUUCAAAACCAGGGGGGCAUCACAGAUUGGGACAGGAGUAUACACACAUAUUCCAUUCCUGCCGUUUACACCAUAUACCUUGCAGAGCUGUGGAAACGCCAUCCAUGUGACUGACCAUGUUCCAUUAUCGUUCAGACUGUACAAUCUGAGAUUGCCAUCAUAAUCCAAUGUUAGCCUUCUUAUAAUGUGACGACCCCAGUCAGCAGCCAUGAAAGAUGUGCUAUCACUUCCCUGGAACUGCCCCAAACUGUCAAGAACACCGCUUGCGUUCAUCAUAAACUAACCUUAGCUUUGCCCAUAUAGUCAUAGCUGGAUCUGGCCAAUAGAUGAAUGAGAGAUCCUUUUGAUCAUCAAAUAGUGAAAUCAGGAAGUGAUCAUCAAAAUGUAAGCUAUAGUGGCCAGGAACAAGCAAUCUAUUAGUGGACACGAGCUUAGUGGUAACAUUAAUCCUCUGAGUGGGUAACAAGGUAUCAGUAGGAGAAUUAAAGCUUUGCCAUAGAAUGAUGUCACCUUUGCCUUUCACGAUGAGGUUCCCUGUGUCCAAGAGUUGAGCUUGUCCUGCAAUUGAGGAGCUCACAUUGUUGGUCCACACGGUCUGACCAGUGUAAUCUUUUAGCACCAUGCUUCCAUCAAAAUUUAAUUUGACAUUUGAUCCCCAGCUGUACACGGGAUGAAGAGGAUUUGCACUCCAGACAACGGGUCUUUCAGAAACAUUGGAGAACCAAAUGGAGAAGGUGGAUGCGUUGGGGGAGAUGUUGUAGAAGCCACAAAUGAAUCUACCAUUUCGCGAACGGAGCACGUUGAUGCUCUGCUCUGCUGAGAGAGAGGAGCCUGGUGAGAGGACAUCUAUUGCAGAGUUAUGGCAAAGACGAUGAAUCAGAAUGACAAGAAACACAAAUGUGGAGACUGCAGCCAUGGCUAUCCCAGCAUUUGAGUUGAUCUUCAAAUGACCUGGAUGGAGGACGAUAUUAUAGGAACCAACUUGCAAUGCACUAUCCAGCCUCCAGAAGCAAGUGAUAGACUCGGCCAACAUUAUUGAAGUCAGUUAAGAUUCGGUGAAUAGUGAACCGUGCUGUGGAGUCUUUAUUCAUUUGUGAUUUAACGUUGUAGAGAAGGCUCUUUUCCGACUGAGAGGGACUGCACCAUGUGCGGUCUGCCGGUCUCUCGUAUUAUCUGUAAGCCUUCGAUAAAAUCAAAGGUAACAAUAUAGAUUAUUAAUUUCUCAAAUGGUUACCUGUCAAGAUGUUUUUUUCAAUCUGACACUAAGAUUUCAAGGUGUAUGCUACAAUAUGAAAUAUGUAUUGAUAUUGCACUUAUUUGGUAUUGCACGUGUUAAUAAUUUCUCUUUCUACAAAUUUAGUCAAAGUUAGAAAACUUGACUUAGGACAAAAAUGGGACCUAAAUUUGGAACAGAAGGAUUACGUGAUGUCUUCACAAGUAUCUAAAGUGAUUGUCUCUUUCUGAAGAGAUGGCCUAAAAUCUACUCUUGUCAACUCAAGAUUCUAGUGGGUGAUAUAAAAUUGAUGCAAAUGAGAUACAGCUAUAGUGUUUCUUUUUCUUACACGAAUACUACCUAUCUUUGUUUGUUUUGUUUUAACGGAAGAUGCACUCCUGAAGUGUAAUUGCUAGCUAUACGAGCUCGCUCGGCGUACAGAUUGUUCUUUGAGGGAGCGACGAGGUUUGCAGGAGCACGGGCCAUCUGAAGAGCCUGGGCACAUAUGAAAGUCAAAUUCUUCAUGUGGCUUGCGGUUCGUCAGCGUGGACAAUAGGCAGAAGGCACAGACGGGCUUUGCGAGACCUGACCAGUGUCACCAAGUUCUUGUACGAUUGGAUCGUGGAACGGGUAGGCGGGUACAAAACGGGUAUACCCCUUCGGAACGAUGAAUCGAGACUUUGGAAUGUGAACCAAUUACUUUCUGUAGGAUAGCUUGGUACGAUAUGCUAUCGAACUUUCACAUAGGUAAAAAAAAUUAGAAAAGAAGGAUAAAAGAAAUAAAUAUACUAUUGGGUUGUCAUUUACAUGCUCUCUUAGUAGUUCCAGCAGCACCAAUCCAAAGUUGUAGACAUCAACCUUUGCUGUAAUUGGGAGACUAGAAACCCAUUCAGGCGCUAAAUAACCUCUAGUUCCUCAAAAUAAAUCAUCCUAAUGCAACAAACAUUAGCUCGGACAAGAUUAUUGCUUAUAAAAAUCCGUAGAAGUACAAGGUGAUACAAUCAGAUAUCUGUAAAGCACACUAGAGCAGAUUUUACGGUGCUAUAGCACACAUACUUACAACACAAUAUAGCAUGGAUACUGCAUAUUUGAUAGAACUACCAUUUUCUAUCAAUGUAUUGUUUGCAUGGCCCUUAGUACAAAGAACCAUUUGGACGCAGGCUUUUAAUAAGCAACUCCUCCCAUUUUAGUUGCACUGCUGACAGCGUCAACUGAAACAAGCGUCUGCACCACAUUUUCCAUAGUUGGUCUUCUGCCUCUAUCUUCCUCCAGACAUGAAACAGCUAGCUUAAUCAUUGUUCUUGCUUGCAAGUAGUUGAAGUCGCCAUUCAGUCUACUGUCAAUAAAGUUGGGGAUCCAAAAUUGUUCAGUGCCAUCCAACUGCAAAUUCUCUUUAAGCAUCCUGACUAUCCUUCCAAGGACCAUCUCCACCUCCUCAUUCUCAUUAUUUUCCAUGUCCGAAAUUCGGGCUCCCUUUAGUAGUUCCAGUAGCACCACUCCAAAGCUGUAAACAUCUACCUUUGCGGUUAUUGGGAGACUAGAAACCCAUUCAGGAGCUAAAUAACCUCUAGUUCCUUGGAUCCGAGAAACAUCUAUAUUUGAUCCACCUCUGUUCAAGAGCUUCGCGAGGCCAAAGUCAGCGAUCUUUGGCACCAAGUUCUCAUCCAGCAGUAUAUUUUCAGGCUUGACAUCACAGUGGAUGACCCACUCUAAGCACUCAUGAUGAAGAUACGCCAAUCCUCUUGCCACGCCUAAGGCAAUAUUAAACCUUUGCUUCCAUUCAAGUAAGAUUUCUGAGCCUUCGACGGCGAACAAGGUUUUUUCCAACGAGCCAUUCUUCACAUAUUCUGAAAUCAAUAUCCUGUGUGGACCAUCAGAACAGAAUCCCCAGACUCUCACUAGAUUCAUAUGGUAAAUCCUGCCAAUCACACUUAGUUCAUGCUGGAAUUCUUCUCCACCUUGGUUUAUAUCUUCCAAUUUUUUCACAGCUACAACCCUAUUGUCUUUCAAAACUCCUUUGUACACGAUGCCUGAUGCUCCCCUUCCAAGCUCAUCCUUAAAUUUUCUAGUAGCUUUCACUAACUCUCUAUAGGUAUAUCUUCGGAAAUGGUUUGUUAUCAUUUCAUAGCCUGCCUCAGCUGGCCAUGCUCCUCUGAGUUGUCCUCUCUCCCUUCUCAAAAUAAACCAUCCUAAUACAAUAAAUAUUAACUCUGCUACAAAUAUCGCUGAUAAAAACCCGUAGAAAUACAAAUACUUUGAUAUAUUCUGACUGGCCUUAUUCAUAUUGGAGAAGUUGGCAAUGACAUAUUCGUUUGCUGCACUGCAGUUUGGUCCAUAUUCAGGACCAAAAACUUGUGGCCGAGGAAUUGAGGACCCAGAUACUUCUAAGUCCUUUGCGAUUUUAAGGUACACGCUACCGAUACCAUCUAGACUUCUGCCGUUUAGUAGAAUAGCCUUCGGGUAGCAGUCACCAAGUCCUUGAAUGUAUGCGAACCCAUUACAAUUGCAGUCAAUCAAACAUAUCUGCUUGCAGAAGUUAAGAGAGACAGAACGGUGAGCACUUAGAUCUUGCCCGUUGAAGUUAGUGUUGGGUAGAUGAACAAAUUUCACCGUUUGCUUAUCACAAGUAAUAUUGAUCUUUGGUCUGCAGCCUUCGCCCCAGUCACUUUGGUCGAUGACUUCAAAACCAGGGGGGCAUACACAGGUUGGCACAGGAGUAUACACACAUAUUCCAUUUCUGCCGCAGACACCAUGUAUCUUGCAGAGCUGUGGAAACGCCAUCCAUGUGACUGACCAUGUUCCAUUAUCGUCCAGACUAUACAGUCUGAGAUUGCCAUCAUAAUCCAACGUUAGCCUUCUUAUAAUGUGACUACCCCAGUCCGCAGCCAUGAAAGAAGUGUUAUCGCUUCCCCAGAACUGCCCCAAGCUGUCUAGAACACCACUUGUGUUGAUCAUAAAAGGUAUCCUUAGCUUUUGCCAGAUAUUCACAGUUGGAUCUGGCCAAUAGAUGAAUGAGACAUCCUUUUGAUUUUCAAAUAGUGAAAUCAGGAUCUGAUCAUCAAAAUGUAAGCUAUAGUGGCCAGGAACAAGCAAUCUAUUAGUGGACACGAGCUUGAUGGUAGCAUUAAUCCUCUGAGUGGGUAACAAGGUAUCAGUAGGAGAAGUAAAGCUUUGCCAUAGAAUGGUAUCACCUUUGCCCUUCACGAUGAGAUUCCCAGUGUCCAAGAGCUGAGCUUGUUCUGCAUUUGAGGAGCUCACGUUGUUGGUCCACACAAUCUGGCCACCGUAGUCCCUUAGAACCAUGCUCCCAUCGACAUUUAACUUGACCUUUGAUCCCCAGGUGUACACAGGGCGGAGAGGAUUUGCACUCCAUACAACAGUUCUUUCAGACACUUUGGAGAACCAAAUGGAGAAGGUGGAUGAGUUGGGGGAGAUUUUGUAGAAGCCACAGCUGAACGUACCAUCUGGCGAACGGAGUACAUCGGAGCUGCGAUCUGCUGAGAGAGAGAAGCCUGAAGAGAGGACAUUUAGAGCUGAGACUUGCAAAAUCAGAUGAAUCAGAG
rnacentral:lncRNA from 1 species